rnacentral:tRNA from 1 species
GAAAAGUUAGUUAACCAUAAUAUAAGAUUGUCAAUCUUAAGUCACCUUUAGAGGUACUUUUCG